GGCGCGGCGCACCCCCGACACUGUCUGUGUGGAGAAGCGAAGCAGCCACCCCCCCCCCCCCCUCCUCUCCCUGCCGGUGCACGACCACCUCUGACCGUGAUAGGGUCAAGCGCCCACGACGUAGGGGAGGGGGGAGAGGAGAGCAGAGUGAUUCACCGCUACGGAUGUUGGCGGUCAGGUCCUGGAUGGCGUUGUGUCGGAGUGACCUGCGACGUUGAACAUGUUUGCACCACCUGCAUGAUGGGCAAAGCGCUAGCGUGGCUCGAGCGUACCUCACACCCGGCCCCUCACACUGCGCACUGGUGUGGGGCGCCUGAGCCACCGCGAGCGGUGUGUGUGUGUGCGCGCACCACGCGGUGAGCUUCUCAGCGGGGAGGUGGGUAGACUUUGAGGCAGGGGCCGUGCUGAGGUGACUGGGUUGGCGGAGGGCUGCAACGCGUGCUGACGGCUGCUUCGCCACACGUGAUGGCCCUGUUGCAGGCCGGGGUGGACAGAGUGGUAUUCAAGCUAUGCUGUAUGGUAGAGAAUGGUCUUGCUGCAAAAGAAGAGAACGCUGUCGGCUGCUUCGCUGGUUUCCUACGUCGUCUGGGUUACGACUGCUGCAGCUCCCCCGUUACUACCACAUUUGUCAGGGGCCGACUCUGCCGCAGAAACUUUACAUGCGUGCCGCUGUAGGUGGUUCAUGCUCCUCCUCACUUUAUGCCGUUCAAGCAUCCCUUUUCGUUCUCUUUCGAAAG
rnacentral:misc_RNA from 1 species